rnacentral:rRNA from 1 species
AUUGAACGCUGGCGGCAGGCUUAACACAUGCAAGUCGAGCGAGCGGCGGACGGGUGAGUAAUGUCUGGGCAACUGCCUGAUGGAGGGGGAUAACUACUGGAAACGGUAGCCAAUACCGCAUACCAUCAGUUGUGCCCAUAUGGGAUUAGCUAGUAGGUGGGGUAAUGGCUCACCUGGGAUACGAUCCCUAGCUGGUCUGAGAGGAGAACCAGCCCAACGGGAACUGAAACAGGGCCAGGACUCCUACGGAGGGCAGACGUGGGAAAAAUUGCACAAUGGGCGAACGCCUAAUGAGGCCAGGCCGGGGGUGUGAAAAGGGCCUUCGGGUGGUAAGCCACUUUCAGCGAGGAGACGUUACUCGAAGAAGAAGCGACGGCUAACUACGUGCCAGCAGCCGCGGUAAUAC